AUUGAACGCUGGCGGCAUGCUUUACACAUGCAAGUCGUACGGUAACAGGCCGCAAGGUGCUGACGAGUGGCGAACGGGUGAGUAAUGCAUCGGAACGUGCCCAGUCGUGGGGGAUAACGCAGCGAAAGCUGCGCUAAUACCGCAUACGAUCUAUGGAUGAAAGCGGGGGACCGUAAGGCCUCGCGCGAUUGGAGCGGCCGAUGUCAGAUUAGGUAGUUGGUGGGGUAAAGGCUCACCAAGCCAACGAUCUGUAGCUGGUCUGAGAGGACGGCCAGCCACACUGGGACUGAGACACGGCCCAGACUCCUACGGGAGGCAGCAGUGGGGAAUUUUGGACAAUGGGCGCAAGCCUGAUCCAGCAAUGCCGCGUGCAGGAAGAAGGCCUUCGGGUUGUAAACUGCUUUUGUACGGAACGAAACGGUCCUGGUUAAUACCCGGGGCUAAUGACGGUACCGUAAGAAUAAGCACCGGCUAACUACGUGCCAGCCGCCGCUGUAA
rnacentral:rRNA from 1 species